GAUGAACGCUGACAGCAUGCUUAACACAUGCAAGUCAACUGGUGGCGGACGGGUGAGUAACGCGUAAAGAACUUGCCUCACAGCUAGGAUCAACUUUUGGAAAGGACUGCUAAUACCUAAUCCUGUGAGAGAGCUUUGCGGCCCAUUAGCUGGUUGGCGAGGUACCGGCUCACCCAGGCGAGGAUGGUUAGCCGGACUGGGAGGGUGAUCGGCCACAAGUGGACUGAGACACGGCCCGUACUCCUACGGGAGGCAGCAGUGGGAAAUAUUGGACAAUGGACCACAGUCUGAUCAAGCAAUUCGGUGUGCACGAUGAAGUUUUCGGAAUGUAAAGUGCUUUCAGUUUGGAAGCGGUACCAACAGAAGAAGUGACGGCUAACUACGUGCCAGCAGCCGCGGUAAUAC
rnacentral:rRNA from 1 species